CAAAGAACCAGGCAGCUACCUGGGCGAGGCACAAUAUGGGCCAUGCCUCCGGAGCCUCCAACGGCUGUGGCACUGGGCUAACGUCGGUUGCUUUGGUGACGUCACCAUUCGUUUUUUUCGGUGGUGAGGGAAAGCCAACAUCGGUUACGUCUUGUGGAGGCAACUCUGGCACUGAAACAUUACUAGAGAUCUCGCGGCUAUCCUGGGAGUUGUAGUUUGUCUUCAAAGCUACCAGGGCGUUGGGGCCACGCCCCCACAUCCUUUCCUGUUCCGUUGAAGUAGUGCCUGAUGGAAGUUGUAGUUUCUAUGGAGAUUCCUAUAGACUCCAGAAUCAUGCAUAAAGCCUGAGCUCCCCUGAAUGUCAGAAGUUUGGAGAAAUGGUGUGUUCUUGUGGAGACCAGAGGGCUGGGUGAGAUAUGGGCGUUUAAAGAAACGUCUAUCUCGAGUAGAACCUAAGCUCUUCUGGGAGCCAGAAUCUUGGGUAAUGACUGGAUUCUUCUGAAGGUCAGAGUCAUGGGAAAGGCUUGGAUUCUUG